GGGAAACUCGGCUCGUGAUUGGUGCAAUUGAUGACAGCUGACAGUCAAGAGGAGGAAAUUCGGGUCCGUUUUCGGUUCGCCAGGUCCUUUCCCUGGGAGGCGUCGACCGGUGCCCUUGAAAUGCGGGGGGAAGUCCCGGAAAAUCGCUCGGGAAAACCGAAAAAGUGAGGAUUAAUUAUGAAAGGUGUGUAAAAAGUGUUCUCUAGAGCGUGAGCUUCAUUUUGAUGUAAUUUUCGUGGGUGUGCCCCUAUUUUUUCUAUGGAAAAAGUGCGAGUGUGGCCUUUUCUGGGAGCUAUCGACGGUCCAGAGGAGGACACAGACAGAAAAAGACGAGAACACAGUUAGAGACAUAACCUCACAUAUGGCCCCUCUGGGUAGUUAUCGAGUCCAGAGGAGGUCGAACAGAACAGGGACAGAAGAGGACUCAAGGAAAUGCCUCCCGGAGGUAAAAAGAGUACAAACAUAACCUCACAUAAGGCCCCUCUGGGAGCAAUCGAGUCCAGAGGAGGUCGAGCAGAACAGGGACAGAAGAUAUCAUAUAAGAAAAGGACAAAAGAAGACAGUUAAGAGGAGAUGGAACCCCAAUUGUCAUGUGGUCCAUCUCGAGUAGUCCCUGGAAACAGUCGAGCAGCAGUGAAACAAAAGAGGAUCCGAGAGGGAAAUGCUUCUGGAGGUCAGAGGUAAGUGACAUUCAACUUUUUUUCUCACUCUCACUCUCUCAUUUGUUAUUUGCUAUGGUGCUAAUCAACUUGACAUUUUCCAACGUUGCUUACAAGGAAAAAGGUUUUUAUUUAUUAAAAAAAUGCGGUGUUGCCAUUUUGAGUAUUUUUGCAUGGGUUUUUUGGAAAUUUAGCCAUAUUGAAAUAAUUAAUAAGGUGUUGUUGCAUGGUUUAAUUAGUGUACAUAUUUUUUGGGGGGGAGGGGGGAGUUUUGCAAGAAAGUUUGGCAACGUUUAAAUACUUAUAUCGCGUGAUUUAUUGCGACCUUGCAUGAUUGAUUAACUUUAAUUAUUGUUAUUAUAUUAUGUGCUAUGGUGUUUAUUAUUGUGUAGUGCUUUCGUGCUUUCAUAACCUCAAAUUAUUAACAUUCGUGUCUAUUUGUGUGCCUUAACCUGUAUGUACCUCCUCUACAACACGAUCCUUGUAUAUAUAGUUCCAUCUCACUCAUCAUCAUAUUAUGCACAGAGGAAAAAUUCACCAUAAGUUAGUGGAUGCUUAAUGCUAUUAACAUAUUCCCUCCUUUUCCAUGCUAUGCCUAUAAUGGAUGAGUGUGUCUUUGUCUUGCGUAUUAGGCAGCAACUUCCCCUAUUAGGGGACAUAAUAUGAACCAAAAAACAACUACAGAGACUGACUAUAUAUAUGCUUGAAGUAGCACUAGAGAAUUUGAUUUAAUGCAGUAUGAAGAUCUUGUACCAGAGUCCUGGACCGGAAACUUUCAUUUGUUUUGUUUUUUUCAAACAAAAGAACAGGGGAAACAGUUGAAGCUUGCAGAUGACCGGACCUUUGGAGUGUUUCUUCAUAUUUUUCUUUUGUUUUUUCCUCAAUUGUUUUAUGUAUUUUAUUGUGCAUUUUUAUUUAAAAUUGUAAUAAAGUGUGCCCUAAA